rnacentral:lncRNA from 1 species
CCGGAGAGGUCUCGCACGACCUCCUGCCUACAUACCUCGUCUGGAACGAGGAUCAGGGCGAUGUAGUUCCCCUCAAAGGGAAAAAGAUUUCAGCCAGAAACCGGGGGAAGACGCACUACCAGGGAGUUGUACUCGAGCCUAGUGUUGUCAUGCAUCAUUGACCCUACGUUCAGGUUUCUAUCCUACUUGCAUAAGCAAACUACUCCUAUCCAGGAAAGAAGAAAG